rnacentral:rRNA from 1 species
UACGGGGGGGGGCAAGCGUUGUUCGGAAUUACUGGGCGUAAAGGCUCGUAGGCGGCCAACUAAGUCGGACGUGAAAUCCCCAGGCUCAACCUGGGAACUGCGUCCGAUACUGGAUGGCUUGAAUCCGGGAGAGGGAUGCAGAAUUCCAGGUGUAGCGGUGAAAUGCGUAGAUAUCUGGAGGAAUACCGGUGGCGAAGGCGGCAUCCUGGACCGGCAUUGACGCUGAGGAGCGAAAGCCAGGGGAGCAAACGGG